UGGCAUUAAUAAGAUUUUAAUAAGG
rnacentral:piRNA from 1 species